rnacentral:rRNA from 1 species
GUGGGGAAUCUUGCGCAAUGGGCGAAAGCCUGACGCAGCCAUGCCGCGUGAAUGAUGAAGGUCUUAGGAUUGUAAAAUUCUUUCACCGGGGACGAUAAUGACGGUACCCGGAGAAGAAGCCCCGGCUAACUUCGUGCCAGCAGCCGCGGUAAUACGAAGGGGGCUAGCGUUGCUCGGAAUUACUGGGCGUAAAGGGCGCGUAGGCGGAUCGUUAAGUCAGGGGUGAAAUCCCAGAGCUCAACUCUGGGACUGCCCUUGAUACUGGCGAUCUUGAGUGUGAGAGAGGUAUGUGGAACUCCGAGUGUAGAGGUGAAAUUCGUAGAUAUUCGGAAGAACACCAGUGGCGAAGGCGACAUACUGGCUCAUUACUGACGCUGAGGCGCGAAAGCGUGGGGAGCAAACAGGAUUAGAUACCCGAGUAGUCC